rnacentral:rRNA from 1 species
GGCGUUCCUUCGGUACCGUCGAGUGACGGGGAAGAGCCCAGCGCUAAAUCCUGUUGCUCUAACGGGUAACGGGAGGUGUAGCGUAUAGUAGGCGAAUUUCCUUGAUGGCUGUCGACUUAAAUUCUCCUUGACUGGGGUUCCAGAGAAGGUGAAAGGCCUGUUCAGUCGAUGGCCGUCUUGGAUUCCGUUCUACUUGGAGUCGGGUUGUUUGGGAACGCAGCCCAAAUUGGGUGGUAAACUUCAUCUAAGGCUAAAUACGGCCACGAAACCGAUAGCAAACAAGUACCGUGAGGGAAAGUUGAAAAGUACUUUGAAGAGAGAGUUCAAGAGGACGUGAAACCGGUAGGAUGGAAACGGAUAGAGCCAACGAACAAGCCCGUAUUCAGCUAGUCGGCUGCGUGCGGCAUGCCUGUGUGCUCGUUCGGGGUGCAUGGGUGUGUGCGGUAUGCGGUCGGCUAGUGCAUUUGCGGGUGAUGUGCGCUGAGGCGUGUGGCGGAGUCCUGCAAACUGUCUGGAGAGGCCUCGCCUUCGCGGCUUGAAACCUACAGGCGGGGAGUAGGGUUUCUGCUGCAUGUAGACGAAGCGACUAGGUGCAAACGCGCUGUCGUGCUGUCGGGGCUAUCUGCUUGGCCGGUCUCAUGCGACUAGGUCUUGUUGGGUUGGUCUUGGCGGUGCGGCAGUGCCCUGGUUCGACCCUCGGUGUAAAAGUUGGUCAUCUCUCCGAACCCGUCUUGAAACACGGAUUA